GAUGAAGAACGCAGCGAAAUGCGAUAAGUAAUGUGAAUUGCAGAAUUCAGUGAAUCAUCGAAUCUUUGAACGCACAUUGCGCCCCCUGGUAUUCCGGGGGGCAUGCCUGUCCGAGCGUCAUUCAACCCUCAAGCUCAGCUUGGUGUUGGGCCCCGCCGCCCCGGCGGGCCCUAAAGUCAGUGGCGGUGCCGUCCGGCUCCGAGCGUAGUAAUUCUUCUCGCUCUGGAGGUCCGGUCGUGUGCUCGCCAGCAACCCCCAAUUUUUUUCAGGUUGACCUCGGAUCAGGUAGGGAUACCCGCUGAACUUAAGCAUAUCAAUAAGCGGAGGA
rnacentral:misc_RNA from 1 species